UACGAAGGGGGCUAGCGUUGCUCGGAAUCACUGGGCGUAAAGGGUGCGUAGGCGGGUUUCUAAGUCAGAGGUGAAAUCCUGGAGCUCAACUCCAGAACUGCCUUUGAUACUGGAAGUCUUGAGUAUGGGAGAGGUGAGUGGAACUGCGAGUGUAGAGGUGAAAUUCGUAGAUAUUCGCAAGAACACCAGUGGCGAAGGCGGCUCACUGGCCCGAUACUGACGCUGAGGCACGGAAAGCGUGGGGAGCAAACAGG
rnacentral:rRNA from 1 species